rnacentral:lncRNA from 1 species
CAAGGUUAAGACCUUGGAUUAUUGAGUGGGAGACCAGGGGUCAGAUCCCACCAGUUACACAGGGGAGGUGUCAGAUUUAAGAGGAAGUCAAAGUCUCACUUAAUUUGAUUCAAUAGCACUCUUGUAACAGUUUAGUUGGUAUAACACAGCAUAGUUUAGUUGGUAUAACACAGUAUAGUUUAGUUGGUAUAACACAGUAUAGUUUAGUUGGUAUAACACAGUAUAAUUUAGUCGGUAUAAGACAGUAUAGUUUAGUCGGUAUAAGACAGUAUAGUUUAGUCGGUAUAACACAGCCAACAGUCGUCGACUACACUAUCACAGCCAACAGUCGUCGACUACACUAUAUCACAGCCGUACAGUCGUCCACUACAUUAUAUCACAGCCAACAGUCGUCCACUACACUAUAUCACAGCCAACAGUCUUCCAUUACACUACAUCACAGCCAACAGUCGUCCACUACACUACAUUCACAAGCCAACGAUCAUCCACCUACACUACAUCAGCAGUCUUCCACUACACUAAUCACAGCAACAGUUGUCCACUACACUAUAUCACAGCCAACAGUCGUCCACUACACUAUAUCACAGCCAACAGUCGUCCACUACACUAUAUCACAGCCAACAGUCGUCCACUACACUAUAUCACAGCAAAACCGUCACGUGCGACUACACUAUAUCACAGCCAACAGUCGUCACUACACGUAUA